rnacentral:rRNA from 1 species
AUUAGUAAUAGCGUUUGUAUAUAACCAAAAACCCGAAUCCAAUUGAUAUAACCUUGUUCAGAAUGAAAUAUAAAUAACUUUAUAUAGAAGUUCGAACUGAUUAAUGCUGCAAAAUUAUCAGAAGAAAUGAGGUUAGUUGUGAAAUGCUUGUCGAAUUUGGAGCUAGCUGGUUCUCCCCGAAAUGUAUUGAGGCGCAGCUAUUAUAAUAUAUAUAAAAAGGGUAAAGCACUGUUUUUAAAAUCACUAUAAACUAAUAAUAUUUUUAUAUUAACAUUAUAAUAAGUGAGACUUUUAGGGAUAAUCUUAUAAGUCAAAAGGGAAACAACCCAGACCAUAAACUAAGAUAAAAAUAUAACGAAAAUUUUAAAGGAUGUGGAGUUGUUACGUAUACAACCAGAAGGUUAGCUUAGAAGCAGUUUUCCUUUAAAAAGUGCGUAAAAGCUUACUGGUAAAGUAAUUCUGCACCUAAAAUGAACAAUAAAAUAUUUUUUUAUCGAAGUAAUGGGAUCUAUUAAUUAAAAAUAGAUCGGUAGGGGAGCGUUCUACAUUAAAAUAAAGCAAAGUUAUUAAAUUUUGUGAAUAAAGUAGAAGUGAGAAUGUCGGUUUAAGUAACUUAAAUAUUAAGAAGAAUCUAAUACCUCAAAAACUCAAAAGGUUCCUAUGAAAGGAUAAACCGCAUAGGGUUAGUCGGGGCCUAAGAUAAGAAAUUUAUUGUAAUUGAUGGGAAUCAAGUUAAUAUUCUUGAACCAUAUUUAUAUAGUAUACAAGUAGUGACCUAAAUAUAAAUUCUAAGUAAUAUAAUAAAUGAUUUUUACUUAGAAAUAAAAUUUUUGCUAGAAAAAUGAUAUUGUAUAAUUAUAGAUAUGCCCGUACUAAAACUGACACAAGUGAGUAGGUACUAUAACGUACUAAGAGGACGAAAUAAAUUUCUUUAAGGAACUCGGCAAAACAAUCCUGUAACUUCGGGAUAAAGGAUGCCUAUAAGGCUGCAAUUAAAAAGUUCAAGCGACUGUUUAUCAAAAACACAGGUAUCCGCAAAAUGUAAUUAUGAAGUAAGGAUACUGACACCUGCCCAGUGCUAGUAAGUUAAAAAAAAUUUUUAUGUUAUACAAAUAAUUUUUUUAUAAGCUCUAGUAAACGGCGGCUGUAACUAUAACGGUCCUAAGGUAGCGAAAUUCAUUGUCGGGUAAGUUCCGACCCGCACGAAAGGUGUAACGACUUGAACACUGUCUUUAAGAAAUAUUCGGUGAAAUAGAAAUGUU